GCCCUUAGAGUUUGAUCCUGGCUCAGAACGAACGUUGGCGGCGUGGAUUAGGCAUGCAAGUCGAACGAGUUUCAGUAGCAAUACUGGAAUAAGUGGCGAAAGGGGCAGUAAUGUAUGGACAACUCACCCUGGGGAUGGGGAUAGCCAUUCUAACGAAUGAGUAAUACCCAGCGAGAUAGUGUUGUGGCAUCACGAUACUAUGAAAAGAGAUUCGCCUUGGGAGAGGUUCAUAUGCUAUUAGCUAGUUGGUGAGGUAACGGCUCACCAAGGCAAAGAUGGCUAGCGGGUGUGAGAGCACGACCCGCGUCACUGGCACUGAGACACUGGCCAGACAUCUACGGAUGGCUGCAGUCGAGAAUCUUCAUAAAUGGGGGCAACCCUGAACGAGCGACGCCGCGUGUGCGACGACGGCCUUAUUGGUUGUAAAGCACAAAAGUAGGAAUAAACGCCGAAAGGUUUGAUUGAACUACAGUAAGCACGGGCUAAGUUCGUGCCAGCAGCCGCGGUAAGACGAACCGUGCUAACGUUGUUCGGAAUCACUGGGCUUAAAGGGCGCGUAGGCGGGUAAUCAAGUCGAUGGUGAAAUCCGGCAGCUCAACUGUCGAACUGCCUUCGAUACUGAAUAUCUAGAGGGAAGUAGGGGCGUGUGGAACAGUUGGUGGAGCGGUGAAAUGCACAGAUAUCAACUGGAACUCCGGUGGCGAAAGCGACACGCUGGACUUUAUCUGACGCUGAGGCGCGAAAGCCAGGGGAGCAAACGGGAUUAGAUACCCCGGUAGUCCUGGCCCUAAACGAUGGGUACUGGAUAGUAGUCUACACAUGAGAUUACUGUCGAAGCAAAAGUGUUAAGUACCCCGCCUGGGGAGUAUGGUCGCAAGGCUGAAACUCAAAUGAAUUGACGGGGAAGGGC
rnacentral:rRNA from 1 species